UGGACCUUUAACCGCGGAGCUCCGGGCUGAUCCAUAUGUUUCACUGUGCCAGUGUUGGAUGUAACGUUACCUGAGAAAAAAUGAUUCCUGUCACAAUUGAGACCAUUUGACAAAUCAAGGAGGCAAGGGAUGAGCAGCCACCAGGGUCAUUCCUCAGCAAGCUGGGAGAUCAGGUGAAAAGUCUAAAAAUACAGGAGAAGGAAAGAAGAUGUAACAAGGGGGAUGGAGAUAAUGACCAAGACCCUUUUUGGACCCGUUUUCGCACUCAGACCAUCUGAUUGAGUACCUGGAGAGGAGAUUCCUGGAGAUGAACAUUCUAGCUGCAUUCAUUGUAAUCGGCCCAUGAGCUCCAGAG